AGUGAACGCUGGCGGUAGGCCUAACACAUGCAAGUCGAACGGCAGCACAGGAGAGCUUGCUCUCUGGGUGGCGAGUGGCGGACGGGUGAGGAAUACAUCGGAAUCUACUUUUUCGUGGGGGAUAACGUAAGGAAACUUACGCUAAUACCGCAUACGACCUACGGGUGAAAGCAGGGGAUCUUCGGACCUUGCGCGAUUGAAUGAGCCGAUGUCGGAUGAGCUAGUUGGCGGGGUAAAGGCCCACCAAGGCGACGAUCCGUAGCUGGUCUGAGAGGAUGAUCAGCCACACUGGAACUGAGACACGCUCCAGACUCCUACGGGAGGCAGCAGUGGGGAAUAUUGGACAAUGGGCGCAAGCCUGAUCCAGCCAUACCGCGUGGGUGAAGAAGGCCUUCGGGUUGUAAAGCCCUUUUGUUGGGAAAGAAAUCCAGCUGGUUAAUACCCGGUUGGGAUGACGGUACCCAAAGAAUAAGCACCGGCUAACUUCGUGCCAGCCGCCGCGGUAA
rnacentral:rRNA from 1 species